GGCACUGUUGGCUUGGUAGAUUUUGGCAUCUCUUUCUGCAGUGUAGCUUGGUCUAAAGUCUUUUGUUUGGCUAAGAGUAUAUCUUGUAGGUUCAGCUUACAUUUUGUUUUCACAGUCAUUCACAUUUGCCCUAAUAGUUGUUUUGUUUGUUUGUUUGUUUUAAUCAUCUCUAGUGCUUCACCUCUCCAGAAUGACUUUUUCAGGGGGAAGAGGCAGGACCAAUGACACACACUACCAAGGCUGUCUCCAGUGGGACCAGGCUUGAACCUGGGUUGUAUGCAUGGCAAAGCAGUACACUAUAAAAGUGAGCUAUUUUGUCAGGCCAGCAGUAGUAUUUUUUUUACCAUUAUUUAUGUUGUAGCCACUAUAUUCCACAUGUUAUUUAAAUGCUUUUAUAGGUUUUACCACUGAUCAUCAGGCAAUCCUAGAAUAGUACAUUAUUUCCAAUUUACAGAUGAGAAAACUGAGACUCAGAGAUAUCAAAUAACUCCAAGCAAUAAACCUGAGGUUCAGACCCAGACAUCUGGUUUUAAAGCCUGUCUUGUAUUAUAAAUAGUGUUGCAGUGAGCAUAGGUUUGUCUAGGACAACCUCUCUAUUGCAAAGGUGUAUCAUCUGGAACUUGGAGUGUGAAGUUGAUCAAAACUGUCUUUCCAACAGAUUACAAUUCUCUGCAGUAGUCCUCAUUUUGACUCUUUAGUAAUCUUAGUCUAUUUAGUAAUAUUCUCUCUUUCUCUCUCUCAAUAGAGGCAUAGGAGGAGCACAGGGUGGUGCACAGAUUGAGUGAACAUGUUAUCAUGUGCAAAGACCCAGGUUCAAGUUCCCCACAACUCCCCUUCCAUCCCUAUCAGCAGGGGGGAGCUUCACAAGCCUUGAAGCAGUGCUACAAGUCUUUCUCCCUCCUUCCCUCCCCAUCUCCCCCAAUUUCUUUAUCCUGUCAAAUAAUAGAAAGAAUUUUAAAAAUAGUCAUAAAGUUGUUUUAAAAGAAGUUUAAAAAGAGAAAGAGAAGGGGACAUGGUGAUAACACAGUGGGUUAAGUGCACAUGGCAUGAAGCGCAAGGACUGGGUUCGAGCCCCCGGCUCCCCACCUGCAGGGAUGUCGCUUCACAAGUGGUGAAGCAGGUCUGCAGGUGUCUAUCUUUCUCUCCCCAUCUCUGUUUUCUCCUCCUCUCUCGAUUUCUCUCUGUCUUAUCAAACAACGACAGCAAUAGCAACAACAAUAAUAAUAAGAGCAGUAAACAGUGAGGGCAACAAAAGGGAAAAAUAGCCUCUGGGAGCAGUGAAUUCUUAGUGCAGGUACCCGAGCCCUAGCGAUAACCCUGGAGGCAAAAAUAAAAGAGAGAGAGGGAAGGGAAAGUGAAAGAGACUACUGCACUGAACCUUCUUCAGUGUGAUAGCUACCAGACUCGAACCUGGGUCAUUCAUACACAAGGGCAGAGAAAUUCCUGGAGCGAUCCAGUUCUCUCACCUCACCAGUGAAGGAAACUCCUCUCUUUUCACCACACCCAGCUCAGGUCUCAUGUUUGGAGAUAAUUUCUGCAACACCCUCUCACUCUGCCAUACCAGAAAGUUAUUGUUGUUACUGAUGGUGUCAUUGUUGGAUAGGACAGAGAGAAAUGGAGAGAGGAGGGGAAGACAAAGAGGUGGAGAGAAAGAUAAACACCUGCAGACCUGCUUCACCGCCAGUGAAGUGACUCCCCUGCAGGUGGGGAGCCGGGGGCUUGAACCGGGAUCCUUAUGCCAGUCCCUGCACUUUACGCCAUGUGUGCUUAACCCGCUGCACUAUCGCCCGAUACUCCCAGGUAAUCUUUUUUACUCCCAGGUAAUCUUUUUUUUUUUUUUAAUAUUUAUUUAUUCCCAUUUGAUUCCCUUGUUGUUUUAUUGUUGUAGUUAUUAUUAUUGUUGUUGUUGAUGUCGUCAUUGUUGGAUAGGACAGAGAAAAAUGGAGAGAAGAGGAGAAGACAGAGAGGGGGAGAGAAAGAUAAGACACCUGCAGACCUGCUUCACCGAUUGUGAACUGACUCCCCUGCAGGUUGGGAGCCGGGGGCUUGAACCAGGAUCCUUAUGCUGGUAAAGGGUAAUCUUUUACAGUAGAGUAAGAUAUCUUUCAUUUGAAUUUUCCUUCAAUUAUAGACAAAUAUAGCCAUACAUUGGAGAUUUCACAGACAGGAAGCAGGAGCAGCAAGUUCUGACUGAGCUGAACCUUUCAUGCCUCUAAUUUUGCUUAACCUGCUCAUC